CUUUUUCCAUUUAAGUCUAACUAGAUUUGAUUUGGUUUAGGACCAAAUAGGAAUAAUCAAGAGUCCAAACUAGACUGGACUUCCUCCCUUAUUUCUUGUGCUACCCCAUACCCACGCCAACCCUUCUCACCACACCCUCUUACUUUUGCAUGAGAUUAUUCAUGCUAAAAGGCAGAAGUCACCCUUUCUCAAUACCCCAAAGAGGAUAGUGAAAGUUUGGAAUUUGAUUUCAAAUUGUAUUCCUUAUCAGGAUGAGAUAUGAUCUCAUCCUACUUC
rnacentral:lncRNA from 1 species